rnacentral:misc_RNA from 1 species
UACGUGAGCCCCGAGCGUUGUCCGGAAUUAUUGGGCGUAAAGAGAACGUAGGCGGUUUGUUAAGUCUGUUCUUAAAGACCAGGGCUCAACCCUGGGAGUGGAAUGGAAACUGGCAGACUUGAGGACGUCAGAGGAAGGUGGAAUUCCCAGUGUAGCGGUGAAAUGCGUAGAUAUUGGGAGGAACACCAGUGGCGAAAGCGACCUUCUGGGACGAUCCUGACGCUGAGGUUCGAAAGCUCGGGGAGCAAACAGG